UGGGGAAUCUUGCGCAAUGGGCGAAAGCCUGACGCAGCGACGCCGCGUGAGGGAAGAAGGCCUUCGGGUUGUAAACCUCUUUCAGGAGGGACGAAGCCACUCGGGUUAACAGCCCAGAGGGUGACGGUACCUCCAGAAGAAGCCCCGGCUAACUACGUGCCAGCAGCCGCGGUAAUACGUAGGGGGCUAGCGUUGUCCGGAUUUAUUGGGCGUAAAGAGCGUGUAGGCGGCCAGGUAGGUCUGCUGUGAAAACUCGAGGCUCAACCUCGAGACGUCGGCGGAAACCAUCUGGCUAGAGGCCGGAAGAGGAGAGUGGAAUUCCUGGUGUAGCGGUGAAAUGCGCAGAUAUCAGGAAGAACACCCGUGGCGAAGGCGGCUCUCUGGGACGGUACUGACGCUGAGACGCGAAAGCGUGGGGAGCGAACAGG
rnacentral:rRNA from 1 species